AUUGAAUGCAGCAGGAAUUACCAAAUACAAGUAUUAGCUGUGGGUUAAGUUUGAGGUCCCUGAAAAGGGCUCAUGCUCUUCUCCUGGGCUUCCCACUGAGAGCAUCCCAGUGUCAUGCUGCCCAACUAACCUUCAGCUGCUGUAAAAGUAAUUAUUUGUUGUUGUUGUGUUUACUGUUACUCAAUAUAAAUAUGAAUGCUUUGAAGCAGAUUGUUGAUUAUCUUUGGGGGCACAAUUUUUCUUUCUCAUCAGUGUGAAAUAAUCUAGCAAUGGCAGGGUCCAGCUGAGGGGAAGGUGCUGCAAAGUAGUAAUUAAUUAGCCUAAUUGAAACAAGCUUUGGCUUAAUGGCCCAUAGCUCUGGUGGUGGUGGGUAGGGUUACCACAGCUGAUAGUAACUUGCUCAGCAGGUUCAGGGUAUGUUGUGGUACAUUGCGUUUGGCUUGAGAGCUAAGGUGUGUUUGCCAGGUUUGUGGUGAUUGUGUCAAGUAGCCUGCUAGUUCUUAGGUCCCUGGAUAUUUGGAGUCUCUGGUUUUUCUGUGCUUUGCUGAAGCCAGUGGGAUUUCCUGAGCCACGAGAGUUUGUCUCCUGUUUAUCUCAGUGGAAGUUAUGGGGGCAGCUGGAUAACUCCUCCACUGCUCUCCUAAUGAGUUUUUUGUGGCUUCUUUUCUGCAUCUUUUUUUUAAGGUACUCAAAGCUCAAAUUCUGUCCUCUGGGUACAAAAACCCAUAGGGGCGUGUUUAUGUUUGUGUAUACACACAAGCAUGUAUUUAAUGUAUAUGUGUACCUGAAGCUAUGUGUUCAUAUGUGUAAACACACCACAUCCACAGCCUUUGUAAUCACUCAAAGUUCUGAAAGGUUUACUGCCACAGUAAUGCAAUGAAUGUCAAAUAUGGUAUUUGCCUGUGAAGCAUCAAACAACGGCCUGUUUUUUCUGAGCUGGACAUCUCAUCAAAUGAUAAGUGACUCAGCCACCCAGGAGAGUGAGAGCUGUCAUUCCUGCUGUGUUCUCUGUCUCUGGAAAGCACAAAGUGGAAAGGAGACAACUCACGCUGGCUAAUGCUGAGGCCGGUCCAGCUCUGCAGAUGUGAAGGUUAAGCUGAAUAUCUGUGAGCAGAGAAGCCUCUGUGAGGAGGAAAGAAAAUCUAUUUAAAAGCUGAAAUGGAAAAACCCAGCAGCAAUCAAUCAGAAUAGGACUAAUAUUCUUUGGUGAACAAUGAAAAAUCCUGGUUCUGGGUAGUAAUUACUAAGCAAAAGGACUGAGUAAAAGGACAGCCUGGAGAGAAUUCUAAUGAAAUCACUUCAACGUGGCUCAGCACUCUUGUUAGAAAGGCAGGGUGACUCACAUGCUGAAGAUUUUAAGCAGUGUUUGAAGAAGGAGAGAACUGGAUAAUGCGGAGAAUUGUCAAGGUUAUAGUGACAACUACGAUGACUUUGAAUCUGCGGAGAACGAGUCAAACUGCUGUGGGCUGCUGACUAUUUUGCUGGGCAAUGUGAGAUAGGAUCCCUGCCUUUGCUGAAUAUCUUUCAUCCAAGAAUUUCAAAAUGUUCCAUGGGUACUCAGCCACAGGGAACAGAAGGAAAUGCACAGAACUAAGAGGAAAGCUUUCAGAGAAGACUUCCAUAAUCAGCUGAAAUCAAGGACCAUGAUACAGUAGCGUUGAAAAUUAAUGUGUCAUGUCUGCAGCAAAUUUGUUUGCAUUUCUUGACCUUACACUGCUGACUAAUUUGUCUUAAUGUGUUAAAUGCACUCUGAAUGAGGUACUAAAUGCACUGAAGAAUAUGUUUUAGCACUUAAAAGGAAUGGAAAAAAUCCUGUUAAGGUGAUUUGGACUAAGUCCCAGGGUGACAUGCAUAAUGCUGGCAGAAAGUCCACUAUGCUGAAUUAUGUUUCCUGCAUACACAGGCAUGCUGAUAUUUUUUGUAAACCUAGUGUGUAACCAAAUCAGCAAGACAUUACCUAGAGAAAGAUCCUACUUGCUUGCUUCACAGUAUUACUAUAUUUUCAUAAUUGAAAUCCCAUCUACUAAACUAUAUUAAUAAAUUGAAUCAUGCUUAGCAGGAUUCCUAAGGGGGGAAACAUUUAGAUAAUAUUCACCAGACACUUAUUUAUUUAGCUAAGUGUCUCCAUUUUAUUGGCUUAUAUCCACGUGUCUUCCAAUGUUCAGAGUAUUAGUAAUUUCUUUUGCUUUUUAAAUUUGAUUAGCUCAUACCAUUUAAAAUUUCUAUAAUCAAAUAAAAUACCUGUAGUUCAAAA